rnacentral:rRNA from 1 species
AUUGAACGCUGGCGGCAUGCCUUACACAUGCAAGUCGAACGGGGACUUCGGUCCUAGCGGCGAACGGGUGAGGAAUGCUUGGGAAUCUGCCCAGUAGCGGGGGAUAACGUUUCGAAAGGAACGCUAAUACCGCAUACGCCCUACGGGGGAAAGGGGGGGAUCUUCGGACCUCUCACUAUUGGAUGAGCCCAAGUCGGAUUAGCUAGUUGGUGGGGUAAAGGCCUACCAAGGCGACGAUCCGUAGCUGGUCUGAGAGGAUGAUCAGCCACACUGGAACUGAGACACGGUCCAGACUCCUACGGGAGGCAGCAGUGGGGAAUAUUGGACAAUGGGCGAAAGCCUGAUCCAGCCAUGCCGCGUGUGUGAAGAAGGCCUUCGGGUUGUAAAGCACUUUAAGCGAGGAGGAAUGGCUCUUGGUUAAUAACCUUGAGCAGUGACGUUACUCGCAGAAUAAGCACCGGCUAACUCUGUGCCAGCAGCCGCGGUAAUAC